AGUGCUGCCGCCACGGGUUGCAAGAGAAGAGAAGCAGGCAGGGGAACAGUCAAUCGUGUAUUCAUCUGGUGCUCAGUAAAUUGGCACUUCACAUAAGAUAAGUUGAGGUCUUUCUUGGCCAGUGCCUGCCUCCCUGGCGCCUGUGGUUUCAGUGAUGGGGAUUCUUCCAUGCGUCACUUGGAGCGACCUCGUCUGUUCCUGUGGACUCACUGACACACUAAAGACACCAGCUCAGCCCUGACCUCUCACCUGAGCGCCUCCUUACCAAGUCAUCCAGAUGGCUCCCCAGGGAUGAGCAGCAACAAAACGGGCACGUGGGUGCCCAGCACACGUCAGGUGAUGUUCUAAGCCCCUUGCGCGUACCCAGUCACUUACCGUUCACUGCAGCCCCGGGAUGAGCUCUGCGAUGAGCAUCCUUUUGCAGACGAGGACACUGAAGCACAGGAAAGUUAGGUCAUUUGCCUAAGGACAUGCAGCUGGAUGGGGACAGAGCCAGGAUCGGGCUUGCAGUGGCUUCAGACCCCACCUUUCUGACCACAGCGCUCGUGCUCUUGGAGCGCCUUGAGAUAGUGGGACAAGGCGGACUGGAGGACGCAGUUUCCAGAUGGGAUGCCCUGGCGGGCGACUCCCGUGCGCAUGCCCAGCAUCCUGCGCAGGCGCUCUCGUGGCCAGGCCUCUGCAAACAGUCAGCACAGACCGGGAGACAGAAAACUACACUCCCUCAGACGCUUUAUUGUUUACAAAACAGAUGGAUCCCAUAGGGAAGGAACACAAUCAUUAUGCUGACAGCAGCGAACAGAGAGGGGAAGAAAAAAGGUGAGCUUUAAAGUAAUCGCAAAUCACUGCCUAUGCGAAGAGGCUGCUUCCGGGCACCUGGGCUGUGACUCAGGUGCUGACAUGAAUACAUCAGCAAGGUCUCAAUUCAGCGUUCACUUCCUUCGCUUCCUCCACUACCUAUGACAUAGCGGGGGAAAGAGACAACC
rnacentral:lncRNA from 1 species